rnacentral:lncRNA from 1 species
UGGUGACUUGGUGACUUGGGAGGAGGAAUGAAGUCGCCGGGAUCUGGUGACUUGGUGAGGGGAAGCGAGAUCUGAGGGGGAUGACGGUGGCGAGGUUGGGCGCUGCUUCGUUAGAAGUGGAGGCUCCGUCUGCUGCUAGGGCGAAGCGAGAUCUGAGGGGGAUGCCGGUAGGCUCCGUCUGCUGCUGCUGUUCGCCAGAUUCUAGAGGGGAGGGGAAGUCGAAAAGAGAGAGAGAGAGAGAGAGUGUCGCCGGAGCUCUGAAGUCGGCGGCGACGCUCUGGCCGUUGAAGAGGGGAGGGGAAGUCGAAGAGAGAGAGAGAGAGAGUGUCGACGGAGCUCUAGGUGUCGGCGGCGACGCUCUGGCCGUUGAAGAGGGGAGGGGAAGUCGAAGAGAGAGAGAGAGAGAGUGUGGGGAGGAAUGAAAUUAAAGUGAAAAAUGAA